GUCUAGGUAGUAUAGUGGUUAGUAUGCUCGCUUGUGGACUUGAGUUCUCUUGGGAGCGCAACCAAUUCGCGAUCGACACCGGUUCGAUUCCGGUCCUGGACA